rnacentral:rRNA from 1 species
CUUAGUUUGCUAAGGCUGAUGGCGACCGGCGCACGGGUGAGUAACACGUACCCAACCUGCCGAUAACUCGGGGAUAGCCUUUCGAAAGAAAGAUUAAUAUCCGAUAGUAUAUUAAAACCGCAUGGUUUUACUAUUAAAGAAUUUCGGUUAUCGAUGGGGAUGCGUUCCAUUAGUUUGUUGGCGGGGUAACGGCCCACCAAGACUACGAUGGAUAGGGGUUCUGAGAGGAAGGUCCCCCACAUUGGAACUGAGACACGGUCCAA